rnacentral:ncRNA from 1 species
GGUUAAGGUACACAUAGCACGAGGGGAAUGCCUUGGCGCUGUAUGCCGAAGAAAGACGUAGCAAGCUGCGAAAAGCCGCGGUAAGGAGCAAGCAUCCAUCGACCCGCGGAUAUCUGAAUGGGGCAACCUUCACGGGUCAACCCGUGAGCCUUUAGAGAAAGGCGGCAACCCGGCGAAGUGAAACAUCUCAGUAGCCGGAGGAAAAGAAAUCGUAAGAGAUACCCUAAGUAGUGGUGAGCGAAAGGGGCGAAGCCCAAACCGUAGCCAUGCCAAGCCCGCAGGCGUUGUGGCGUCGGUGUAGAGGGAUCAUACGGGAAAGGCUGCGGACCUUCCACGGAGCGAGAAAGCCGACAGCAAACCGAACCGAGUUGGAAAAUCGGGCCAUAGAGAGUGAAAGCCUCGUAAGUGCAAGCCGUCGGCCUCCGGUAUGACACCCAAGUAAUGCGGAACACGAGAAACUCCGUACGAAUCCGGGCCGACCACGGUCCAAGGCUAAAUACAUACAGCGACCGAUAGAGAAACAGUACCGAGAGGGAAAGGUGAAAAGCACCCCUGGCGGGGAGUGAAAGAGACCUGAAACCUCGUGCUAACAAGCAGAUGGAGCU